UUUUUUCAUGAAUAUUUGUCACUUUCUAACUUUAAUUUACUAUUUUGUUUACUUACUUUUUUAUGUGGAUGUUUUGUUGACUAUCUUCCUUUUACCAGGAUGUUAACCUACAAGUGUGAAGAUCUUUGUCUUUUUUCAUCACUGGUAUCCCUAGUGUUUCAAGAUAUGGAGGAUGCUUUGUAAAUAAUUGUGGAAUGAAAAUUAAUAAAACCAGAUUAGGAAAGCAGGUGAAUGCAUGGGGCAGUAAGUGCAAAGGAUCCGUCCACAGUUAAGGAUAGGUGUAAAGGUGAAUGGACCACAAGUCCUGGUAGAUUUAUGGAGGCGGACAUUCCUUUUCACAUUCCAAAAAGUUCUUGCAACUCAAAGAUAAACUUGGCCAACUAUCAGAGUCAAAGCUACAGACAUUGCACCUAUUAACUGUCAAGAUCUCUUUCUAACCAUGUAGUUCAAUCCUUGAUGAAUUCAGACAGCGCUUGUGUGAAUUGGUUUGAGGCCUUCUGCAUCAGGACUUCUCGGUAAGUAUCAAGGUUCCCGAGCUUUAUCCAUAUUGCUGAGUAAUCUCUAAAGAUAAAGUCCCCAUGAGAUUUGAAUACAUACUAAAAUUUGAGAAUUACUAGUGUAUGGAAAAUCUAUAGAAAACAAUGAGAUUAUAGUCGAACAGAAUCUCCGAAUGUGAUAUAAUUAUUUCAUAGGAUGUUAACAAGAUUUCACAGGAUGUUAGUUUUUAAAAAAGUGUUUCUUGACUUAAUAGAUUAGGAUAACAUUGAGUUACAUAGAUUUAAAAAGAUAUAUAAUAGGAAUUCUCAGAAUCUUUGAUCAGCUGACAUGAUUAUGAAUUCUCCACAGUAGAAUAUACCCGUAUUUUGCCAUGUACAUACGAUGAGCACUUUUUGCCCAAAUUUCUGAGGAAAAAAUUAGGAUGCACAAUAUACAUGGGUUGUACUAAUUCCAUAUCUAUGUAAGUGUUUUUCAUUCUUUUAUUUAUGCUAUGCCUUAAAAGUAUAACUCUAGAAAGCAAUAACGAUAUCAAUAUGCAAAAUAAUGCCCAAUUGGUUCAUUGGCUUACUUGUCAUAUUAAUAAUUGAAAUACAAUAAUUGGUCUUGUUUCUAAAUAUUAAUUAAUUAAUUAAUUAAUUAAUUAAUUAAAAAUUAAAACAAAAGAUUUUUUUCUUGAAAAUUUGGGCCAAAAACGUGGGUAUGCAUCAUACACAGGCGCAUGAUAUACACGGCAAAAUACGGUAGUAUGUAGCAUCCCAGGUUUGCUUUGUCACGGGUAGCUCUUUUUUAGGCUUCUCUUACUAACCUUUGGGGGAGAGGUUUAUUUUUAAAGAAAAAGUCUGGGCAUUUCUGUUAUAGAUAAUAUCUAAGAAUCAUUGUUGAUUCUAACAAUGUAUAAUUUUUUGUAAUUCUGUUUUCUUUCUUAGUCCCUCCCAUUAGUUUGUAAUCUACCUGGGGCCUCCUAUAACCUGAGAAAGAGGAAGAAACUGAAACACAGAGAGGCUGAGUUUGUUGCCUAGGACACACAGCAUUUGAAUACAGGAAGUCUGGAUCCGGAGCCCACAUUUUAAUCACAACCUGACCAUGAAGACCAGCUAGGACGGCCACCUUGGGGUCCCUGCGAUGUGGAUGGGAGCAGGGCGAGAGAAGGAGCCACAGGACUGCUGCCUACCAGCAGGGCUGCCUGCCUCUGGCCUCCCUGGUAAGAGUUAACUUAAGUGUAUGUAUCUUUAUCAGGAUUAUGGAUAAUAACUAAGUGUAUCUAUUGCCUCGAGUCACUCUUAGUUGAAUAACAUGUGUUUUUAAAAAAAUUCCAAGAGAACUAACUAGAAUUCAUUUACUUCUAAAAGUUUCCUAUUUUCUUAGGUAUUUCAGAAAAUUGUGCUAAAUCAGAUAAGAUUUGUUUCUAAUAAUUUAUGCUUUCUUGGUAAGCUCCUUCUCCACAAUUGCUAGCUAGGGGGAAAAGAACAUAUUACAUAAAGAGUAUUAGCUAUUUUAACUUAUUAAUAAGUAUUAUUGACUUAAGUAUUAAUGUUUGUAUCUUAAAAUAUGUACAAGAAGGGGUCAAUAGUUGUUGUACCUGGGUUAUUGAUUCUCUCCAGGUACUAGAAUUAGGGUGCAUGUUUUGUUUUGCUUUAUUUUUCUGAAAUACAUAAACAGAAACCAAAGUAAAGUACUCACAAAAGCCAAACUACAUAAUUUUAUAUUAAGGCAAGUUUUUUUCUGGCUCUCAUUAUUUUUUUCUCUUUGUUUUCCCUUUGGUUUUCUAAACUCCCCUCCUAUUAAUUUUCUUUCCCAUAUUAUUAUUUUUAUUUGUCUUAUAAAUUUUCUGCACUUUUUUGUGUGUUUUAAUGCUGUCUGCAGUAUGAUGUUGUACAUGUAAAUGAAAUCUGAGUCACAUUACUAAGUUUCACUCGUCUUCUUUAAUGCUCUGUUGUUUCAUUUAGUAAAUGUUGUCGAACGUUGUUAUGGACCAGCUUCUGUUCCAUGUGUGACAGAAUGAGGAGGAAUGAGCAUUUGGAAUUUUGUGCUCUUCUCUCUUCUCUCUGCUCUGCACUGUCACAGAUAACUCAUUCCAUAAGACCAACGUAAAUGCAGUCUUCUCCAUGAAACCUGAAGCGACCCACUCAUUGAGCUAUUAACUUACUCUUCUACAUUUCCAUCACUCUGUUGUUUCUAGCGGUGUUUGCUGAUUUUUGAAUUGAUGGCAUAUUAUGUUGAUCAGUACACACCCUUGUCUGGGCUUUGAAUUCCUUUAGGGGAGGCUGGUGUGUCAUUUUAACCUUCCCUGGUAUCCAGCCCUAUGUUGCUUCUUUAAACAGUCUUGCCUUUAUCUACAGUAAGGGUGACAGGCCACAUAAAUUACAUGCUCAGUCAGACACAUGCUCUUUGCACAGAACAGCCUGAACUUGACCUACACAUUGUCACACCUUAUCCUGUCCAAUUUUCCAGAUGCUAAUAGACACCAGUGCCACUUGUUGUUGCCUUUCUUAUCUUUUCUCUACUCUUCAGGUUCGCUUCAUCUGUUGUCUUGUCUAGACCUCUGCCAUGGCGCCUCCCCAGUUUCCUUACUGUGAUACAGAGGCUUGGGUCCUGGAGAGGGACCUACAGAUGGGCUAUAGUUUACACCCAGCAAUCUCUUAAUUAAUAAUGUAUUUAAUAAAUAGGUGGAUGAACAACUGAAUAUUCAUAAAAAAGCGUGCAUUUAAAGCUUUGAUGUUUUUAAUAGCAAGUAAGAAGAAAGGGAAAGUCAGAAUACCUUUGGCUGCCGGUAAUAUUUACUGGAGUGCGAGGAGGUACCUUGAUGCAGGCCUGAGAUCCCCACUGUGGCACACGAGGCUGGGGUUCGCCCUGCACCCAGACCCUGGGUACCACAUUCCUGUAGGUGCAGUGACCCUCUUUAAAUAAGGAGAAAAAUAAGGAAAAUUGAAAAAACCCAGUUUUCCCCUUUCAAGUUAGAAAAGGAAAUUGUGGCAAUAUUUGGAAUGUCAAGAGUAAAAAUAAGAAAGAAAGAAUUAAUCCUGUUAGGCCAAAAUGGGAAGCUGUCGCCACCAAAGCUGUAACUCUCUAAAUGAAUGUAACACCUCUGAAAACUCUCACAACUGUGCCAAGUAUUUACAUGUUCUCCGUGAACGUGGCAUGGAACAGCAAGCCGUUUCAGUGAGAAGCUCGCCAUCUGCAUGAUCACCCGUCCCUCGCUAGAGCACUCUGAACUCAGCAGUUGCACAACAGAUGCAUCUAAAUAUACAGUGUUCCUCCUCGCGUGGUUCAGAAUGGGUGUGAGGAGCCGAGGCAAAACAACCAGCUUACUUGAAACUCAGCCUCCAUCUGACAUCUUUCCAGACACCUUUCAUAACCAUACUACAUGCAGGCCUGGAAGAUAACCUUAUCACCAUGGAUUUAUAGAGUUAAACAGGUCAUCUUGACCCAGAACAUCCGCAGCUGCCAUCACAGUUGUUAAUGAAUCACUCAAUCUGGAAGGAGAAGCCAGAUCACUGUUUGGUUUUCAUUUAAGGGAAAGUCUGUGUAGUUGUGGGAAAAAACAAGUGUACAGAAGUCAGAUUGUAGGUAUCCCAGAGAGAGGAAUAAAAAAUGUUUCAUUCUACUUCAUCACUACCGUAUUAAAUGUGUGUCUUUGGAAAAAUAACACUAGUUUUGAUGAAAAUACAAAAUCAAGAAUGAAAGAUGGCAUUCCAUCCUAUCCUUUAUAUUUUGUUUAUUUUCAUAUUGCACAAGUAUUCACCAAGGUAUUUUAUUUUGGGGGUGGUUUAUCCUAAUUGCAGAAAUGAGGUCUAAAGUUGCACUUCCCAGAAGGUACAGAUUAAUAAAGGCUGUUCACCCCUUCUGAAUCAUGUCUUUACUUGCCUCUGGGUGAGGAGAUGACACAAUGUUCUUUUAGACUGGUCGUAAGCCACGCUGGCCAGGGAUGAACAUUCCUGAUGUAAAUGGGGCAGCUUCCUUGCUCUGCCCACAGACCCCUGUCCAGUGCUCCCUGGUGGUGAGGGUGUCUGGGAGGCCAGGGCACGGUCAGCAUUGGAACAAAGCACAUUCUAGGAGUGAAGUGAUAUCAGCUGAAGAAUGGAAGAGAAGAAAUGGGUGAAGGAUGUGUUAUUCUACAUUUAUGUGCUUCAAUUAAAAGCGGUAAAUUUAACAUGAUCAGAAAAUGAGUCGUCAUUAAUAUUGUCCUGCAAACUCUGGGUAAGACUUGCAUUAUGACCAUUGUUAUGAACGCCAGCCACAACCUUUGAGAGAGUUACUGGAAACUAGUAUUCAUGGGUGGCCCGAGGGCUCCAGAAGCCUUGUUUGUGAUAUAACUAGCAAAAUGUAAAUAACAUUGGGAAACUGCAGAGGCAAGAAGAUCUAUAUUGUAUCAAUAUGGAUAUACUCCAAAGAGUUUUAGCAUUGUGAACCAUGACAGCACUACGAGUUUUUUCUCUCCAUGGGAAAAUAAGAAUUUUUGCACUCAGAUUAGGUCAGGAAAUGGCAACAAUUUUUGAAACGUCAGGGCUAAAAAUAAGAAGCUGAGAAUUAGUCCUGUUAGUGCAAAAUAAAGUACCCUGGCCAUCAAAAGCUAAUGACAACAGCAUUAUCAGACCUGAGAGGGGAGAGGCAGACCCUGGGCACUGAGAAUCUCUCCCUGCCUCAAGUGGAUAACAAAUAAGUUUAUCUUCUCUGUUUAUGAUUUGGAAUCUUCAUCAAUAAAUCACUGUACCUCACGUGGGCCUAUGUAUUCUUAAUGCAUUUUAAGUCAAACCGUUUAUAUAGACAGAGGCUCUGCGAGAAAACAUUUGCUCAGGACCUUAUACACUCAGAGGUUGCCCUGACCCGAGAGACAGACUGACUUUGGAAUGUGUUUGGUAGUUCAUCCUUAAGUGCUGAAAGGGUGUCUAACGAUGUGACAACCAGCUUAUAUUCAGAAUUAUAAUGUGCAAGGAGAGCAAGUCGGAUGAUUUAGUGUGUGGGAAAGGAGAUCUCAUAGGUCUGGGAAGGCUGGGAGACCAAUGCCAUCGUCCACACGAGGGCUGACUCCCAGAACGAGUGGAGGGGCUGAGGUUUCAAACAGAGCAAAGGAGCAUGCUAAUGUCAUUAACAGAAUUAGUGGCAUUGGAAGCAGAAACAUGUUUUUUUUUUAAGGAAAAGGAAAUGCAUGUAGAAUGUUAUGCUUUGGGACUUCAAUAAUUUAAUUUGAAUUUUAAGAAGGGUGACACUAAUAGAAAGUCUAAUGAUGCUUGCACUGAAAUGCAAAGGUCUUUUGGCUGCAGUUGCUCAGAAAUGUCCCUUCAAUCUCUGGUUAAUCAGAAAGCUUACUUAGACAUUCAGCAGAGUUCUGUCAACCUGCCUUUAUCUAAGCACUUCCCAAUCAGCUAAAUCAGUUUUCCAAAACAAUCAGGAGAGAAAGGGUCUGAUUUUCUGUAUCUAAAGCUACUUCCACCCUCCUCUAUCUACAGCUCAACUUUGACAUCCAACAGGAGACUCUUGGAGAAAGAAAUCCAGGCAGUUUGGAUAUUUGGGGCUUGUUCCUGCUGAGGGAUAUGAAAUUCAGACCACGUCACCACAUGAUUAUUCAGAUAACACCCUUUACUCUUGUGCUCCCCACGAAGGGAACCAGGCCCAGUCAGUGGUCACGUGUGGAUGAAGGAGCACUGAUAAGAGUGAACGAGCAGAGUCUUGGGCUCUGUGUGUGAGAGAGAGAGAGUGCAGGCCUGCAUGAUGCCCCAGACUCUCACCGAAUGGAAGGUGCUGACACCGGCAAACAGGCGAACAAUUCAAUAAAGAGCAAGGGCGUGGGGGAAACCAAUGAAUGUCCGUGGUUAGCAAAACUUGACUAAUGCUUAUGCUGUUGUGAUAAAGGUCUCAGACCGUCUCAGUGGCUACAGUUCUCAUAUACUGCUUGUUUUCUUAACCACCCAGGGGCUUUCAUCCAUGAUGACUAAUUCGGCAGACGUCUGUGAAGUGCUACAGGCUGAUUAAUGUAACUUAGAAAAAAUGGAAGUAAAAGGCUCUAACUCAAAAAGAGUCAUAAUCUAUUGGAUUAUUUUGGAUUUAAAAAAUUUAGUGACAGACUGAUGUGUUAAAAUUUUAAUGUUGCUUUGGGAAGGAUUCAUAAUGAUAAUAACCUGUAUAACUUUUUUUGGAAGUGUAUAAAACCUUUUCCCCAAUAGUUUCCUCAUACAUGUCCAUUAUGUACAGUGAUUUAAGGAUAAGGAAAUGGAGGCAUAUAAGAAUUUCUAUACAGUUAGAUAAUAUCAAAGGCAGAAAUAAUAAGUAAAUCCCCCAAAGCCUUUCUAUUAGAUCACACUUUUCCUGUAUUUGCUCUGAUUCUCAAUUUUGAUUCUUAAAAAUUUUGUAUGUAAUAGAUCAUAUUUAACAUGCAAAAAAUCAAAAUUCUAUGUAAAUGUAGAGAUGCUCAAAAGGAUUUAGUUACCCCCCUGUUUAAAUUCGGUGAUUUUAAGAAAAAAAGUUCGCAUGUGUUCAUUUUCACUGUUUCUCUUUUACCCAAAGCAAACUAGUCUUUGAAUAGGUUUAAAAAUGAAAGUUAAUAAAUAAUUAAAAACUUGUUAUGCCAUUGAUGAACAGUUAACUCUAUUAUGUAAAGGGGAGAGGGACUGACUACCUAUCGGAACUAGUGGUUGACCUGUUCUCCCCAUGUCCAGUUUACUGUUUUAGGGAAGUUGCUUUACCUUUAUUUCGCUUCCUUCCUCCCUUGCUUCCUUUCCCUCCUCCCCCCCCCUUCCUUUUUUUCUUUAUGAAUCUUAUUGUUUUCAUCUGACAAAAGACUGGAGAUAAUAAGGCCUUCCGUAGAACUGCCUUAAAGAGCUAUUGGAACAAUUAUAGGAGACAUGGAAAUAGUUUUACCCCUUUCUUCCUAUCUUAGUAAGUAAUAGCAUCCUCACGGCAGCUCCUCAGUGAAACCUUCAGACUCUUCCUGAUUGUGUUUCUUCCUCCCCAACCCCGGCCCUAUCCAGCUGCAAGUCCUUCACAGCGUCCUGCAUAUUUACUCUCUCCUUUCUUUCUCCUCUGCUACCAUUCAUUAUGGCCCAUCCAGACAACUGUGAUAGCUUCUGACUAGUCUCCCUGCUUUCUUCCUCGUCCUCAUUCAAUGUCUUUUCUGUCUAGCAGCCAAAAUGAUCUUUAGAAAAACAAAAAUUAAAUCAUGUCAUUUCCAUAUUUUAAAGCUUUCAAUGGCUUCCCAUUAUACUCAGGAUAAAAUGCAGAAUGGCCUGCAUUUUAUUGGCCUCUGUGGCAGCUUCAAGAUGACCCCCAAUUCUUUGUCACUUCCUUUAGAGAGGAGGUGUCUGAUUUUCCUCCUUGUGAACCUGGGCUGACAUUAGUGCCUUGUGUGUUUAACAAAGAUGACAGACAUAAUGAUCUGAGACUUGCCAAAGAGGCUGUCUGGAGGCUUAAAGCUUGGGGCAGGGAUUGGUCUUGGGGAAGCUGGUACCCAUGUAGAAAUUUAAGUACUAUGAGACAACCGUGAGGCCACCUUGUGAGAAGAACAAGCCCUGCGAGUUGCCAUGUAGAGAAGACAGGCCAGGAGUACUGAGGUACCAGGCUUGAAUGAAGAAAUCCACUGGGACGUGGGAGCUCCAGCUCUCACUGUCCCAGGUAAUGCCACGGGGAUCAGAGAAAACUGCCUAGAAGUGUCUAUAUUCCUAAUCUCCAAAUUGUCUGCAAAAAAUAAUCAUUGUUUUAAGCUACUAAGUUUUGGGAACCCUUUCACAGAUAUAGACAGCCCAGCAGAUUUUAAUGACCUAAAAAUGUGGUUCCUUCCUCCAUCCAUGGGUUCAACCCCUCCCAUCUCUCCUCCUGGUUACUGUGCAACAGCCAGUAAGGCUUCUCCGAAUGUCAAGCUUGUUCCUGCCAACACCUUGGCACUUGCUAUUCCCUCUGCCUGAACUCUGACCCCAAAUCUGGUCAUUGUUUCCUUCUUGUCAUGGAGUGUGUGUCUCACAGUUUAAGGUAGGCGUUCCAGAUUUCUCGGUUUAAAUCAGCCUUACCUGCCCACAUCCUUAUAGUUUAUCACUGUUCUUUAUUUUUUAUAGCACUUAUAAAAGCUGAAAAGAUUUUGUUCAUUCAUUUAUUUCCUACUUAUUCAUUUUUUUUUAACUGGAAUGUUAACUUUUGAGACCUGAGCUUCUAUCUGUGUUUUUUCACAAAGGUGCCCCUACUGCCUUUUGUAUUAAAUAUAUCUUUUUAUUAAUGCAUGCAAAUGUGCUUUGAACCUAAAGGGUUACAUUAUUAUUGCACAACAAGUAACCAUCAUAAGAAACCACUGAGUACUAGGCCAGGUGACUUAAGACAAAUGCCAUAUGAUCUCAUUUAUAACAGGAACCUAUUGAACAAAACAAACAAAUGAGCAAAAUAGAACCAGAGGCAUGGAAAUAAGGAACAGACUAACAGUGACCAGAGGGGAGGAGAGAGGGGAUAAGGGAGAGAAGAAGUAGAAGGGCCUAGUUAAAGAACAAGUGUGAAUGACCCAUGGACAUGGGCAACAGAGUGGGGAUUGACAAGGCAGGGCAGAGCACAGCAUUAGGAGAAAAUUGGGACAACUGUAGUUAAAUAACAAUAAAAAAAGAAAAACCACCGAGUGCUAGAAAAAUGCAGAACAGAAUGAACUCAAACAUAAACCAGUAAGAUACACCAAUAAGAUAUGGAAAAUUAUAAUUCUCUAGAAUUGCAGAGAAUUAAAAUAUCCCACAAUAUCAGAAACUUUAAGUCCACUUGAGUCUGUCAUAGAAGUACAUUUCCAUGUUAAUAUCUCACUUAGGAAGCUGACAGGUCCAUUGUACUAUUUUCCUGUUCCUCCUUGGCACUUGGCUCAACCUUCAGUUUUCCAGUAUGUGUCCUUUAGUAAUAAAGUGAAAGGUAUUUUUUUUGUUUACCCAUUCAUAAAGUCAUUGACGAAAGAGUCCAUAAGAGUAUGAAAUGUGUUAAUCAUUUAAUGAGGAGGAAUUGCCCCUUUCAAAGACAUAGGAAUGAGUUUACAAUCCACUGCAUGUGCAUUUCUGCUUUACUUUGCCUUUCCUACCCACCUAUCACUUAGGGAGAAGAGCGUUGCUAAUUAAUAGUAUUUAGGUUAACAAAGGAGAGAAAACACAGAAAGCUUAACAAAUGUGUAAAAAGAACAACUUUACUGGGAUUUAAGAGACAGGAAGUUUGAUUUGAUUUGAUUUGAUGAAACUUAUUGACUUGGUAAACUAUGUAAUUGUCAGCAUGUAUCAGGAGACAAGUUUAAUAUAUAUUACUAUAGUAUGCAUUUUAAUUCAGUGAGCUAGAGAGACUCACUGACUCACAAGAAAUUGAAAUGUCGAAAUGGAAAUCCAGGCUUUGAGAUUCCUAGACUCUUUGAAACCAUCUUGCACCUUUCUCUCCAUCUGCUUGUCAACAUGACUUUCUGAAAUAACUCAUCUCAGUGGAGUAUUUUAGAAAAAAAAUCAUGUGGAUGCAUUUUUUCCCCACUGAUAAAUGCCAAUCUUAGGCAGCGUUUUUGUCAGGAGUCUCUGUUCCAGCUUUAAAAGCCAAAAGAAAAAACCGAAAAUGAGUAUACCAAAAUGUAAUUUAAAAUGCAAAUGCAGAUUCUGCAGAAAAGCAGCAAAAGCUAAUUGUAGUUUUCCUUCAUGCUUGGCUCCAUAAACAGAGGGUGCCUUCACCUUCCCCCUGCUGGGGAUGCCCAGACCUCAGCUGCACUGCCACAUUCUGACCUCUUAGAUAGAAUACAUUUGACUUAAAAACAAACAAACAAAACCCAGCGGCAGAAAUCAAUGGGCACUUAACCCCAGCCAGUUCUGGGCGAAAGGGCAGACAUGGGUGUGGUGUGGCAGUGAGCCUCUGAACUCACGGGAAAUCCAGAAGAGAAACAGCAGUUGCCUGUUGUAAAGAAAGGGCAGUGCUCCCUGAGAAUGGGUUUUAAAAAAAAAUUUCAACCCCUGAAUUAAGGACAUCAUCUGUUUAUAACCUAUCAGAGUUGCAUGUACAUUUCAUGGUUACAUUGACUUAGAGUUGAUUCUAAAAUGGGCAGCUUUGUCUCCAUUUUGUUUUUAUUCCUGUCCUACCUGGCUAUUAGUGGGCUACCUAGUACAAUGAGCUUGGAUACAUAUGUUGUUUAUAGCAAAGCUUUUGUUUACUCUUUUAAGUCUUAGGACUUGUUUCUGAAAAAGUACAAAAUCAUUUGUGAUCCAUUUUUUUGGACACUGUCCCCUUUUCUCCUUGAGUGAAUGGUGUUCUAAUAAGUUUAAUCAGCAUGUUGUCACAAAAUGCUAGCGAUCUCGCACAUAGCCUCAGCACAGCCUGAUCAAAGGUAUUUAGAGUCCAGAAGAAUACACGAUUUUGCCAAAUCAAAUAACUACUAGAAAAAGCUUGAGUGACUUUUUCAAUUAGAAUUUUGAAUUUGAAAAAAUGACUCUGGGGCUCAUGUGGAGUCCAUUCUGUCAUGUAUGUUAAUUAGGAGCACAGACUUCGUGGACAAAAUGAGUGUUUUCUUAAUCUUUAUCCUUCCCCUGUCAAAACUUAAUGGACUCAGUUAACAGGUCCUGUUGGUUCUUCAUGGCCUUUCCUGCCCUCUACUGAGGGAGCUACUGCAUUGGAAAACGGUCGGAAACAAGAAGGAAGCUGUGAGGUGGAGAGGUUGAGUAACUGCUUUACCCGAGCACACGAGGGCAUUAUGUGGUCCCAGGUGUCCACAUGCGUGCCGCGGUCCCGAGGCUGUGGGGGCUGCUCACUGGGAGGGGCGCCUUAGACAAACAAGGGUUGGGGACCUGCAGUGACUGCACUCUGUGGCUUUGUACCUACAUCUCGUUUUCCUACCAAGCUUUAUCCUCUGGGGUUAGUCUGCCUGAAAGCGAAAGACUCCUUUUAAUCCUCCAUUUGCCUCUAUCUGUUACCGUGUGCUGGGAAUCACAUCUACCCGCUUGCAUGUCCGAGGUGCUGGGUUUGAGGUGGAAAGCACAUAAAGAGACGGAGAAGGAGUUGAAGUUCCCUUCUGAACUUGGUACUAGUUUACAUGAAGAACAGGUUUUAAAGCAAGUUUUGCGGUAUAAGUCAUAUAUGUACUAAUCUAAAAGUCUUACCAAAUGAGUCAGAAUAUGCUAGGAUUGUUCACAAAUAACUGCGUUCAUUUUCAUUAUAACUUCUUGCUCUUAUUUCCAAAUAUUUUUUAUUCCAUUUUUUUUUCCUUUGGUGGGCUGGGGGUGUGGGGCAGAAGUGAACUCCUCAGAGGCCUAUGCCUGAGUUUAUGUAUGUAAAAAUAGAGGAAGGAAAACAUUUUUAGAAAACCACUCAGAAUAUUUUAAAAUUAUUUUUGCACAAACAUUGUAUUUUGUUUUACAGAGAGAAGACUGUAACUGUUCUUUAUUGCCUGUCAUGCUUAUAAGAGGGAUACAUCCUAAAUGCAUUAGUUUCACUUAUUUUUGCUUUAUGGAACAUUAUAAACAUGAUACAUAUGACAUCCAACUGAAAAAAGAAAAUCUUAAAUGAAAUGAGAAGUAAGGCACAUCCAAAUGCAGGAGGAUAACAGGAGGCCAAUCAGAAGUAGGAAAAUGCUCAGGAGAUUCCAGCCUCUGGUCAGGACUUUGCCUUCCCUGUAGCUCAGCUCCUCCCUUUCAUCUUUCCUGUGGGUGUUGCUCUGUGCAAACAGUUCCCGCCUUUCCCAGAAGUCCAGGUGCGCCGCCCCUCCCACCCAAGCCCACAGGUUUUUUUCCCUCUUUCCCUCUUGCCUCCAGUUCUCACCUUUCUGUGUCAAUUUCUAGGGUGAACCUGGCAGUUUGAGGAGAAAGAAAUGAUCAGUUAUUUUGCUAAGCUCUGUAAUAGCUGACUAAAAGAAAGAUUAAUUUUCUUUUAGUUAUUGCCAGCUAAGUACAAAUGUCUAUGCAAAAUAAAUGAUAAAUCUGUGAUUUUAUUUGAUUUAGGAU